CUGCGGUGCAUUUCUUGCAGUCCUGAUGCAUGGAGAAAUGCUCAACUCCUGAUGCAUGGAGAAAAGGCCUUCACAAGCCUCUGCUAUUGUGUACAUACUAGUUUAUACUAAGUGACCCAUAAGUUCAGGAGGCGGUGACCGUGUUUCUGCGCCUACCAUGGUGACCACGGGUAACAGGGAAUCAGGGUUCCAUUCCAUACAGGGACCCUGAGAAACGGCUACCACAUGCAAGGAAGGCAGCAGACGUGCAAAUGACCCACUCCCGACGCGGGAAGAUAGUGAUGACAAAUAACAAUACAGGACUCUUUAGAGGCCCUGUAAUUGUAAUGAGUCCACUUGAAAUCCUUUAACUAUCAUCAAUUGCAGAGCCACUGACCCAUGCGUGCUGCAG